GAUGAACGCUAGCGGCAGGCUUAAUACAUGCAAGUCGAGCGGGAUUCUCCUUCGGGAGAUGAGAGCGGCGCACGGGUGAGUAACGCGUACGUAACCUGCCUUACAGAGGGGAAUAGCCCUGGGAAACUGGGAUUAAUACUCCAUAGUAUAUAGAUGGCGCAUGCUGUUUAUAUUAAAGUUGAGGCGCUGUAAGAUGGGCGUGCGUGCUAUUAGCUUGUUGGUGAGGUAAUGGCUCACCAAGGCGACGACGGGUAGCCGGCCUGAGAGGGCGACCGGCCACACUGGGACUGAGACACGGCCCAGACUCCUACGGGAGGCAGCAGUGGGGAAUAUUGGGCAAUGGAGGAAACUCGUGACCCCAGCGACGCCGCGUGC
rnacentral:rRNA from 1 species